UUAAGCAUAUCAAUAAGCGGAGGAAAAGAAACCAACAGGGAUUGCCUUAGUAACUGCGAGUGAAGCGGCAAGAGCUCAAAUUUGAAAUCUAGCACCUUCGGUGUUCGAGUUGUAAUUUGUAGAAGCGUCUUUGAGGUUGCGCCUUGCAUAAGUUCCUUGGAACAGGACUGUCAUAGAGGGUGAGAAUCCCGUAUAUGGUGGGGCUUGCAAUCUUUUGUAAAGUGCUUUCGACGAGUCGAGUUGUUUGGGAAUGCAGCUCUAAGUGGGUGGUAAAUUCCAUCUAAAGCUAAAUAUUGGCGAGAGACCGAUAGCGAAGAAGUACAGUGAUGGAAAGAUGAAAAGCACUCCGAAAGGAGGGUGAAAUAGGACGUGAAAUUGUUGAAAGGGAAGUGCUUGGGAUCAGUCUUUAGUUUUAGUGAUCAAUUUUCCUUCUGGAUUAUGCACUCGCUAUUUCUUUGGCCAACAUCAGUUUUUGCGGCAGGAUAAUGACAUUGGAAUGUGGCUUCUUCGGGAGUGUUAUAGACUUUGUUGAUACUGCUUGCUUGGACUGAGGACCGCGCUUCGGCUAGGAUGUUGGCAUAAUGAUCUUAAGCAGCCCGUU
rnacentral:rRNA from 2 species